rnacentral:rRNA from 1 species
GACGAACGCUGGCGGCGUGCUUAACACAUGCAAGUCGAACGGAAAGGCCCUGCUUUUGUGGGGUGCUCGAGUGGCGAACGGGCAAGUAACACGUGAGUAACCUGCCCUUGACUUCGGGAUAACUUCAGGAAACUGGGGCUAAUACCGGAUAGGAGCUCCUGCUGCAUGGUGGGGGUUGGAAAGUUUCGGCGGUUGGGGAUGGACUCGCGGCUUAUCAGCUUGUUGGUGGGGUAGUGGCUUACCAAGGCUUUGACGGGUAGCCGGCCUGAGAGGGUGACCGGCCACAUUGGGACUGAGAUACGGCCCAGACUCCUACGGGAGGCAGCAGUGGGGAAUAUUGCACAAUGGGCGGAAGCCUGAUGCAGCAACGCCGCGUGCGGGAUGACGGCCUUCGGGUUGUAAACCGCUUUCGCCUGUGACGAAGCGUGAGUGACGGUAAUGGGUAAAGAAGCACCGGCUAACUACGUG